AGAAUUGAUCUUGGUUCAGGACAAACGCUGGCGGCGUGCCUAACACAUGCAAGUCGAGCGUGAAAGGGACUUCGGUCCCGAGUAGAGCGGCGAACGGGUGAGUAACACGUGGGCAACCUGCCUCAAGGACUGGGAUAACUCCGGGAAACCGGGGCUAAUACCGGGCGAUGUCGUCUGGCGCAAGCCGGCCGACCAAAUGGUAGCUUCGGCCUCCGCCUUGAGAUGGGCCCGCGUCCUAUCAGCUUGUUGGUGAGGUAACGGCUCACCAAGGCUACGACGGGUAGCUGGUCUGAGAGGAUGAUCAGCCACACUGGGACUGAGAUACGGCCCAGACUCCUACGGGAGGCAGCAGUGGGGAAUCUUGCGCAAUGGGCGAAAGCCUGACGCAGCAACGCCGCCGUGAGCGAAGAAGGCCUUCGGGUUGUAAAGCUCUGUCAGGGGGAAAGAAGGCACCUGGGUUAAUAGCCCAAGGGCUGACGGUACCUCCAAAGGAAGCCACGGCUAACUACGUGCCAGCCGCCGC
rnacentral:rRNA from 1 species